AUGCUUCAUCAGAUAGCAAGUGCUAAUAGGGGGACUCAAGUUUGGCGGAGAGAACAUCCAAACCCAAAGAACCCGGGUGAGCUAAUCCUGGACCGCUUAUUCUGGGCAUUCGCCCAGACUAUACAAGCCUUCAGGCACUGUCGCCCGGUAUUAUCAGUUGAUGGUACCUUUCUCACUGGAAAGUGCAAGGGCACACUAUUGGUGGCGAUUGCAGCAGAUGCAAAUAAUCAGCUUCUUCCUAUUGCAUACACACUGGUCGAGAGCGAGAACAAAGAUAGCUGGUUGUGGUUCCUGAGCUGCGUGAAGAUGGGUGUCAUGAAAGAACGUUUAGGUGUUUGCAUCAUCUCUGAUCGCAACACAGGAUUAUUAAGUGCUCUCGACAUAAUUAAGGAGUCGUCAGAAGAGUGGGGGUGGCCGGAUCUAGAGGGAAGGUGGUGCAUGAGGCAUUUGGCAGCAAACUUUUACUCCAAAUUCAAGAAUAAGGAUUGGUUCAAGUUAUUCAAGAGGAUGUGCAUGCAGAAAACUGAAGCCAAAAUGAAUGCCAUCUGGGCAGGUAUCAAUGGUGAGAUCGAGCGUGCGACCUUGCCGUAG
rnacentral:rRNA from 1 species